rnacentral:rRNA from 1 species
GAGUUUGAUCCUGGCUCAGGAUGAACGCUAGCGGCAGGCCUAAUACAUGCAAGUCGGACGGGAUCCGGUGGUAGCUUGCUACCAUUGGUGAGAGUGGCGCACGGGUGCGUAACGCGUGAGCAACCUACCUCUAUCAGGGGGAUAGCCUCUCGAAAGAGAGAUUAACACCGCAUAACAUCAACAGUUCGCAUGUUCUGUUGAUUAAAUAUUUAUAGGAUAGAGAUGGGCUCGCGUGACAUUAGCUAGUUGGUAGGGUAACGGCUUACCAAGGCGACGAUGUCUAGGGGCUCUGAGAGGAGAAUCCCCCACACUGGUACUGAGACACGGACCAGACUCCUACGGGAGGCAGCAGUAAGGAAUAUUGGUCAAUGGGCGGCAGCCUGAACCAGCCAUGCCGCGUGCAGGAUGACUGCCCUAUGGGUUGUAAACUGCUUUUGUCCAGGAAUAAACCUAUCUACGUGUAGAUAGCUGAAUGUACUGGAAGAAUAAGGAUCGGCUAACUCCGUGCCAGCAGCCGCGGUAAUACGGAGGAUCCGAGCGUUAUCCGGAUUUAUUGGGUUUAAAGGGUGCGUAGGCGGCCUAUUAAGUCAGGGGUGAAAUACGGUGGCUCAACCAUCGCAGUGCCUUUGAUACUGAUGGGCUUGAAUCCAUUUGAAGUGGGCGGAAUAAGACAAGUAGCGGUGAAAUGCAUAGAUAUGUCUUAGAACUCCGAUUGCGAAGGCAGCUCACUAAGCUGGUAUUGACGCUGAUGCACGAAAGCGUGGGGAUCGAACAGGAUUAGAUACCCUGGUAGUCCACGCCCUAAACGAUGAUAACUCGAUGUUGGCGAUAGACAGCCAGCGUCCAAGCGAAAGCGUUAAGUUAUCCACCUGGGGAGUACGCCCGCAAGGGUGAAACUCAAAGGAAUUGACGGGGGCCCGCACAAGCGGAGGAGCAUGUGGUUUAAUUCGAUGAUACGCGAGGAACCUUACCCGGGCUUGAAAGUUAGUGAAGAGUGCAGAGACGCACUCGUCCUUCGGGACACGAAACUAGGUGCUGCAUGGCU